UUUAACUGAAGAGUUUGAUCAUGGCUCAGAUUGAACGCUGGCGGCAGGCUUAACACAUGCAAGUCGAGCGGGGGAAAGUACUUCGGUACUAACCUUAGCGGCGGACGGGUGAGUAAUACUUAGGAAUCUGCCUAUUAGUGGGGGACAACAUCUCGAAAGGGAUGCUAAUACCGCAUACGUCCUACGGGAGAAAGCAGGGGAUCUUUAUGACCUUGCGCUAAUAGAUGAGCCUAAGUCGGAUUAGCUAGUUGGUGGGGUAAAGGCCUACCAAGGCGACGAUCUGUAGCGGGUCUGAGAGGAUGAUCCGCCACACUGGGACUGAGACACGGCCCAGACUCCUACGGGAGGCAGCAGUGGGGAAUAUUGGACAAUGGGGGGAACCCUGAUCCAGCCAUGCCGCGUGUGUGAAGAAGGCCUUAUGGUUGUAAAGCACUUUAAGCGAGGAGGAGGCUUACCUGGUUAAUACCCAGGAUAAGUGGACGUUACUCGCAGAAUAAGCACCGGCUAACUCUGUGCCAGCAGCCGCGGUAAUACAGAGGGUGCAAGCGUUAAUCGGAUUUACUGGGCGUAAAGCGCGCGUAGGCGGCCAAUUAAGUCAAAUGUGAAAUCCCCGAGCUUAACUUGGGAAUUGCAUUCGAUACUGUUUGGCUAGAGUGUGGGAGAGGAUGGUAGAAUUCCAGGUGUAGCGGUGAAAUGCGUAGAGAUCUGGAGGAAUACCGAUGGCGAAGGCAGCCAUCUGGCCUAACACUGACGCUGAGGUGCGAAAGCAUGGGGAGCAAACAGGAUUAGAUACCCUGGUAGUCCAUGCCGUAAACGAUGUCUACUAGCCGUUGGGGCCUUUGAGGCUUUAGUGGCGCAGCUAACGCGAUAAGUAGACCGCCUGGGGAGUACGGUCGCAAGACUAAAACUCAAAU
rnacentral:rRNA from 1 species